rnacentral:rRNA from 1 species
GUGAGGUAACGGCUCACCAAGGCAUCGACGGGUAGCUGGUCUGAGAGGACGAUCAGCCACACUGGAACUGAGACACGGUCCAGACUCCUACGGGAGGCAGCAGUAGGGAAUCUUGCACAAUGGGCGAAAGCCUGAUGCAGCGACGCCGCGUGGGGGAUGAAGGCCUUCGGGUUGUAAACCCCUUUCAGUAGGGACGAAAAUGACGGUACCUACAGAAGAAGCUCCGGCCAACUACGUGCCAGCAGCCGCGGUAACACGUAGGGAGCAAGCGUUGUCCGGAUUUAUUGGGCGUAAAGAGCUCGUAGGUGGUUCGGUAAGUCGGAUGUGAAAACUCAGGGCUCAACCCUGAGACGCCAUCCGAUACUGCUGUGACUUGAGUUCGGUAGAGGAGUGUGGAAUUCCUGGUGUAGCGGUGAAAUGCGCAGAUAUCAGGAGGAACACCAACAGCGAAGGCAGCACUCUGGGCCGAUACUGACACUGAGGAGCGAAAGCAUGGGGAGCAAACAGGAUUAGAUACCCUGGUAGUCCAUGCCGUAAACGUUGGGCACUAGGUGUGGGGAUUUAUCAACGAUCUCCGCGCCGUCGCUAACGCAUUAAGUG